UACGUAGGAGGCAAGCGUUGUCCGGAAUUACUGGGCGUAAAGCGCGUGUAGGUGGUGGGACAAGUCUGCUGUGAAAGCGCCUGGCUUAACCGGGCGAGGUCGGUGGAAACUGUUCGACUCGAGGACGGUAGAGGGGGGUGGAAUUCCCGGUGUAGUGGUGAAAUGCGUAGAGAUCGGGAGGAACACCUGUGGCGAAGGCGGCCCCCUGGGCCGGCCCUGACACUGAGACGCGAAGGCGUGGGGAGCGAACGGG
rnacentral:rRNA from 1 species